rnacentral:rRNA from 1 species
UGAGGAAUAUUGGUCAAUGGGUGAAAGCCUGAACCAGCCAUCCCGCGUGCAGGAUGACGGCCCUAUGGGUUGUAAACUGCUUUUCUACGCCAAGAAACGGCCCUACGUGUAGGGCACUGACGGUAGCGUAGGAAUAAGCAUCGGCUAACUCCGUGCCAGCAGCCGCGGUAAUACGGAGGAUGCAAGCGUUAUCCGGAUUCAUUGGGUUUAAAGGGUGCGCAGGCGGGCUUGUAAGUCAGUGGUGAAAUACUGCCGCUUAACGGUAGAAUUGCCAUUGAUACUGCAGGUCUUGAGUAUGGAUGAGGUAGGCGGAAUGUGCAGUGUAGCGGUGAAAUGCAUAGAUAUUGAACAGAACUCCGAUUGCGAAGGCAGCUUACUAAUCCAUGACUGACGCUGAGGCACGAAAGCGUGGGGAGCGAACAGGAUUAGAUACCCUGGUAGUCCACGCUGUAAACGAUGUUCACUCGCUGUUUGCGAUAUACAGUAAGCGGCUGAGCGAAAGCAUUAAGUGAACCACCUGGGGAGUACGAUCGCAAGGUUG